rnacentral:rRNA from 1 species
UUUGAUCAUGGCUCAGAUUGAACGCUGGCGGCAGGCUUAACACAUGCAAGUCGAGCGGAAACGAUGGGAGCUUGCUCCCAGGCGUCGAGCGGCGGACGGGUGAGUAACACUUAGGAAUCUACCUAGUAGUGGGGGAUAGCUCGGGGAAACUCGAAUUAAUACCGCAUACGACCUACGGGAGAAAGGGGGCAGUUUACUGCUCUCGCUAUUAGAUGAGCCUAAGUCGGAUUAGCUAGAUGGUGGGGUAAAGGCCUACCAUGGCGACGAUCUGUAGCUGGUCUGAGAGGAUGAUCAGCCACACCGGGACUGAGACACGGCCCGGACUCCUACGGGAGGCAGCAGUGGGGAAUAUUGGACAAUGGGGGCAACCCUGAUC